GAAAUGCGAUAAGUAAUGUGAAUUGCAGAAUUCAUUGAAUCAUCGAAUCUUUGAACGCACAUUGCGCCCGCCAGUAUUCUGGCGGGCAUGCCUGUUCGAGCGUCAUUUCAACCAUCAAGCCCCGCGCUUGUGUUGGGGACCUGCGGCUGCCGCAGGCCCUGAAAACCAGUGGCGGGCUCGCUGUCACACCGGGCGUAGUAGAUUUUAUCUCGCUCAGGGCGUGCUGCGGGUUCCGGCCGUUAAAAAGCCUUUUUUACCCAAGGUUGACCUCGGAUCAGGUAGGAAGACCCGCUGAACUUAAGC
rnacentral:misc_RNA from 1 species